UUAGAGCUUCACUCCCAUCUUACAUAUACAUGGAUCUCGUCUCGUGUGAACUGCUGCGGAUCAGUCGGGGGCCAUAAGACCCUUGCGCGCUGCGCAGCGGUGGGCGGUGGCCGGUGGCAAUGGCGCCCACGACUUGCCUCCGGAUCCCCUUCCUCCCCGCCCGAGGCCGCUCCGCUAACGUCAACGCCCCUCCGUCCUGGCUCCCCCGCCGCCUUUCUCUCAAAUCCAGCGCGACCAACGGUGACAAUUCCCUCCCCAAUCCCAUCUCCACCUCUCCCACCUCGCCGCCUUGGUUAACGGUGGUGGACGUUAACGGGUUGCGUCGCCCGCCCGCGCCUGUUUCCGCCCCUACCAUCCCCGGCGACCGCGGUCCCCGGUGGCUGCCUCGGCCGUUCACUAGCGCGGACGUCAUGGGGGCGGAUUGGAAGGGGCUCAAGGUUGCUUACCAGGGUUGCGCUGGGGCGUACAGCGAAGCGGCAGCAAAGAAGGCAUACCCAAAUUGUGAGGCUGUGCCCUGUGAGCACUUUGACACUGCAUUUCAGGCUGUUCAAAACUGGGUAGUUGAUAGGGCAGUGCUGCCACUUGAGAAUUCAUUGGGAGGUAGCAUACAUCGGAACUAUGAUCUAUUGGUUCAGCAUAGUUUGCACAUUGUCGGAGAAGUUCGCCUUGAGGUUCACCAUUGCUUGUUAGCCAAUCCUGGUGUGAAGAUUGAAAAUCUGAAAAGUGUUAUGAGCCAUCCCCAGGCUCUUGCGCAAUGUGAACACACAUUAACAGGACUAGGAAUUGAACAUAGAGAGGCUGUUGACGACACUGCUGGUGCAGCAAAGAUUGUUGCAGAACAUAUGGUCCAGGAUACUGGUGCUAUUGCUAGUUCAUUGGCUGCUAAACUCUAUGGAUUGGAUGUUCUUGCUGAGAAUAUUCAGGAUGGCAAAAAUAAUGUCACCCGUUUUAUGAUGCUAGCUCGAAAACCCAACAUUCUUCGCAAUGAUAGACCAUUUAAGACAAGCAUAGUCUUUUCACUAGAAGAAGGACAUGGACAACUCUUUAGGGCGCUUGGUGUAUUCGCACAGAGGAAAAUCAACCUCACAAAGAUCGAAAGUCGUCCACACAAGGAGAGGCCUCUUCGAGUAUCUGAUGACUGUUCCUCACUCUUAAAGAAUUUUGAUUACCUCUUUUACGUUGACCUUGAAGCAUCAAUGGCUGAUCCAAAGAUUCAGAAUGCUCUUGGAAAUCUGAAGGAGUUUGCAACCUUUUUAAGAGUCCUCGGAAGCUAUCCUACAAAUGUGAAUGAACCUUAGAAAACACUGCAGAUUACAUGAUGAAUCUGCCGUGUCGUCACGACGGGAGGAACCCGCCGCUUCCUAAGACCGUGUCCAGCAGUUCACCCAUAUGGUCGCUCAAAACACCGUUUCGCAUUAUAAACUGCACUGUUCGCAUAGUGGAGGUUGAAUAUGUAAGCUGCUGGAGAAAGCCUAAAGCCUAAACCAUGCAUACUACUUUAUCUUCAUUCGCACGCAAGCUCCGCGAUAGCCAAAUUAUUGUGGUAGUUGGAUUAUCCAGGAAUCCAGAUUCUCAGAAAAGCUCUUCAGAGAAAGCUAUCCCAAACAGGUCCUUAAUCUCUCUAACCCACACUUUGUUUCAAUAGCUUGGGCCACUGUUUUAGAAGAGCCUUUUUGUCCACCUUAGGGAUCACAUCUUUUUUCUCGAAAACUGUUGGGACAGGAAACUGCGGGCCCAAACACUUGAACGCGGUGAGACAGGUGGCACGACAAAACAGUGAGCUGGGAGCGUGUAAUGUCUUGUCAAGUGUGUCCUGUGCCGGGGUCGGUGGACGGGGGUAUUUAUAUGGGUAGCCUGGGUCAGUGGACCUAAGUACGAUAAUACCCCCGGCUAAAUGAUUUAUCUCUCAUAUCUCAGCUGCUAGAUGCUUUUUGGUCAUGCCUCUGGACUACGGACUAUUUUCAGUAAAAGCUCGAUGACUCCCCUUAAUUGUACUGAUGCUGAUUCGCUUCUCCUUUCUGGGCUCAUCGAUUGCGAGAUCAAGGGCUUUCCUUGCAAAUACCUUGGAGUACCUCUCACAAUUCAGAAAUCGACAAAGGCUGAUCUGCUGCCAUUGAUAGAUAAAAUAGCAGCUAGCCUCCCAAUUUGGAAGGUUUCUGUGUUGAGCCGAGCUGGGUGUCUGGUUGUGGUCCGUGCUGUCUUCACUGCCAUUCCUAUCCACCAUAUGAUGGCUAUGGAUCUCCCUAAGUGAGUCAUUAGAGCAAUUGUUAAACUUCGAUGGGGAUUCUUAGGGGCAGGCCGCCAAAAUGCUAAUGGAGGUAAUUGCCUUGUCUCUUGGGAAAAGGUUCAGACGCCGUUACAGUAUGGUGGUCUUGGGAUACUCAACCUUGAAUCAAUGGGAUGGGCCUUGCGCAUCCAUUGGUUGUGGCUACAAAAAACGGAUUCUUCUCGACCUUGGGAAGGGCUGCCUUUUCAGGUACCCCGUAAUGCCCAUGCUCUCUUUGAUGUUGCCCUGGAGACCAAGGUUGGGGAUGGUGAGGCCACUAAAUUCUGGACAGAUUGUUGCCUGCACGGUUGCCCUGUAGGUGAGCUGGCCCCUAAUCUCUUUCAGGUAAUUCCUAAACGAGCAAGGAGACAACGCACUGUUUCUCAAGCGUUGGGCUGCAGGUCUUGGACUGCUGAUAUCCAGGGUGCCCUCACUGUGCCUCACUGUACAGGUGCUUGUCGAAUACUUGAAGCUCUGGGAAGUAGUUGAUGAUUUUACCUUGCAGCCGGCUGUUUCAGAUCAGCACAUAUGGAAGCUAACAAAUCCAGGGCUGUACACUUUUAAAUCUGCUUACAACGCCUUCUUUGUGGGUUCAGUUAAGUUUGCACCUUGGAAAAGGAUUUGGAAAACUUGGGUCUCUCUUUGAUGCAAGUUCUUCAUUUGGUUAGCAAUCAAGAACAGGUGUUGGACAGAAGAUAACCUGUCAAAACAUGGGCUGCUGCACCACCGUCUUUGCCUCCUUUGUGAUCAAGAUGUGGAGAAUAUACAACACAAAUGGAAAAAUAAACAGAAUAACUGUGUGGCACUGUUUUUAAUCGAGAUUCGGUCUAGACUACUUUGGCUGGCCUGCCAAUUCUUUUCUCUCCCCCGCAAGCGCAUUAGGCCGAAACUUGGGCUGGGCUGGGCCAUGAAAGCCUCCUUUGCCUGGGCUGAAAUGGCUCCAAUCUCCCUACGCUCUCGGAUCGGAAUCGGACGGUCAUCCCUCACUGGUAUUCGUCCUGGCUAGGUAUAAAACAUGUUAUUUUUGGUCGAGGGAAACCCUAAAACAUUUUCUUUUUGCCCUGCGUGGCGUUCUCCACUCUCCUCUCCCUCUCCCGAGCACCUCUCCUUCCUCCACUUUCUCCCCAACUCCGGUGAGCGAGAGUGUGGUCACGACACAAUCAUGGCGCUGCCCGUGGGGCCAAUCGUCGGUGCGCGAGCUCCCCUUCGGGGUGAGCAUGUCACCGUCGAGCGACCUCUUGGCGGUGCCCUAGUGUCCUGUGCGUGGCGUUAUGUACCGGUGGCUGCGUUGUUUCUACCCAGUCGUCUGCAAACAAGAUUAGCAGGAAUGGACGAAAUGGUUUGAGUUGGUUCUCUGAGCAGGUUGACAAGUGAGGACCUCUAUGAAGCUGAUGCUAACAUUUACAGAGCAAAAGGAUCUAUAUUAGAGCAGUAUAGAAGGGUGGAUGUGAGGCUUACAUUGGUUGUGAGCUUGAAAGGGAAUUUGUUGUUUGGCUGGUGAGGUUCUUUUGACUUCUGAUGCAACGAGGAUAGCUGAAAUAGCAAUCUUCUUCAAUGUCUUAUUAUGCGGGAGCUUGAAAAUACUUCAAUUUAUAAGUUUAUAGGUUUUCAUGUUGGAGCAUCUUUGUCAUGGUAGCAUGUAGGUUGCUAAAAUAGUCAGUGGAAUAAUGAGACAAUGUCUAAGAACACUUGUCUUUUUUUUAGGACAGUAUAAUAAGAACUGACGUUUCCAUGUCCAUAUGGACGUUCCACAAAAAUCUUAUUUGCUGUCAUGAUGGGCUCUAUUCAUCUGGUGGUGGCCAAACCUCUGCCAAACUUUACUUCUGUAGGAGAAAAUAAUUUGUUGCUCCUUGUACUUUUCUAUUGAUGAAACGGAAUUUGGUGCCCCUUGUUUGCCUUGAUCUGUGCCAGGUCAAAUUGGGCUGUUCAA